CAGGUCCAAUCAGGAGAAGCAGACCAGGGAAUAGAAUGGCCUGCUUCUCCUGGUUGGACCUGCA